AAUCACAGGAGGUCAGACUCAAGCUGAUUUAGUUUUCUUUCAGCCAGGUGAAUUAAGAGAGCAGGAGCUACUUCCUCCCAAGGCACAGGAGCUAAAAAGCAGAAGUGGAGAGGGUUUUUUGGCCCAGAGAGGCAGGAGCCACAGAGGAAAGCCAGGUCCAAGGGCUCUGGCAGAGGCUCUUCGGAGCACAUGACCUUUGCUCAUGGGGCAUUCUGAAUGGGAUCACAAACGAGGACCCAGAGGCUCACAGGUUUUGGAACUGUGUGGGAAGGUGCAGAGAAACCACGUUUGCUGUUGACCCAUCACUGGAAGGAAAUUGUGCCAGUAGUGUCAAAGGUAUCACAAUACAUGUUUAAAUUAUCCAUGGAAUUACAAUUGCUGCAAAUG
rnacentral:lncRNA from 1 species